GAGGGUUGAUAGGUUAAGAGCUAGUUAACUGGACGUUACCCACAGAAGAAGCACCGGCUAACUCCGUGCCAGCAGCCGCGGUAAUACGGAGGGUGCAAGCGUUAAUCGGAAUUACUGGGCGUAAAGGGUGCGUAGGUGGUUUGAUAAGUUAUCUGUGAAAGCCCUGGGCUCAACCUGGGAAGGUCAGAUAAGACUGUUGAACUCGAGUAUGGGAGAGGGUAGUGGAAUUUCCGGUGUAGCGGUGAAAUGCGUAGAGAUCGGAAGGAACACCAGUGGCGAAGGCGGCUACCUGGCCUAAUACUGACACUGAAGCACGAAAGCGUGGGGAGCAAACAGGAUUAGAUACCCCGGUAGUCCACGCUGUAAACGAUGUCAACUAGCUGUUGGU
rnacentral:rRNA from 1 species